UCUCGAAUAUUGAUCCUGUGUCACUAUCUUUAAUGAGUUUUGACACACUUGCUUUCUCAGCUUCUCAAUUUCUUGCAGAAGAGGCUCUUGUGCUGCUUUUAGGUCGGCAUUUUCUUUUAUAAGUGCUUCACAUUCUGCUUUCAAAGCCUCAUACUGUUCACUAGUGCAUUCUACACUUUGCCCGAGUUCUCGAAGUUCCUUACGGAACUCACGUUUGAGAUCCGCAAUUUCCGGUUUAGGGUCAUCAUUUCCCAUUUUGAGCAGCAGCAGAAACACACGGCAAACACACAAAAAUAUGAGCACCUGAGACAAAAGUUGGCAGCAGGGCAGCAGAGCAGAAACGCACACUAUAAGCAAUAAAAAAAUAAAAAAUAAUUUCCAGCCUACAGAGUAGAUGAAAGGUAAGUGCUGGCUCCUGUUGCUGCCUCUGCUGCAAAAUGACGACGAAGGGCCAGCAAUGCUCCUUAUAAAGAGCUUGCAGUGCAACCGACGUGACGUAGAUCCCUAUGGUUCCCGCAAUCAGUCGUAGACAGUCCAGGCAGGCAGCGAUGCAGCUGCUGGGUGCGUCCGUGCAGUUGCACUCAAGGUACGAUGCAACCGCCCACAGUCUUCUUGAAAGUUGCUGAGCGUCUGCAGAAUCUGCAGAGUAGACGAAAGGUAAGUGUCGACUCCUGUUGCUGCCUCUGCUGCCAAAUGAUGGCGAAGGGCCAGCAAUGAUCCUUAGAAAGGGCUUGCAGAGCAAGCGACGUGACGUAGAUCCACGUGGUUCCCGCAAUCAGUCAUAGACAGUCCAGGCAGGCAGCGAUGCAGCCGCUGGGUGCGUCCGUGCAGUUGCACUCAAGGUACGAUGCAACCGCCCACAGUCUUCUUGAAAGUUGCUGAGCGUCUGCAGAAUCUGCAGAGUAGACGAAAGGUAAGUGUCGACUCCUGUUGCUGCCUCUGCUGCCAAAUGAUGGCGAAGGGCCAGCAAUGAUCCUUAGAAAGGGCUUGCAGAGCAAGCGACGUGACGUAGAUCCACGUGGUUCCCGCAAUCAGUCAUAGACAGUCCAGGCAGGCAGCGAUGCAGCCGCUGGGUGCGUCCGUGCAGUUGCACUCAAGGUACUGUAGCGCCGCGAAACGGCGCUUCCGUAUCCCACGCAUCCACGCAUCCAAACACGCAUCUACGCAUCCCACGCAUCUAUGCACCCCAACCAACAACUGAACUUUUUUUCACUCCGAAGCUCACAAAGAAAAGUCACGUGGUUCGUCGUGCAUGUGCUCAUGGCAUUGCGCAUGGAAGCGCCGUUUCGCAGCGCUUCAGUACGAUGCAACCGCCCACCGUCUUCUUGAAAGUCGUUGAGCGUCUGCAGAAUCUGCAGAGUAGACGAAAGGUAAGUGUCGGCUCCUGUUGCUGCAUCUGCUGCAAAAAGUCAAGUGCUUCAGUCAGUGCUUUUGCC